AGAAAUGUCAUCUGUCAUAUAUAAAAUUUCAUUCUUAACCUCAAAAUGUAUCUAAUUCAGAGCUUCCCAAAUGUGGGCUAUAGUUCCCACUUUUGGGCACCGCAGGGCAAAAGGAGCUUUGUAAGAGACGCAGAAAUGUAUGAGACAAAAUAAGUUUGGGAACCGCUGACAAUUGAAUUGGAUUAAAGUAAAGUAAGUCGUGGUAGCCUGGAGGUUAAAGGCCCGCCUUCCAUACGUAAGGGCGCGGGUUCGAAACCUGGCAAGUACCAAUGUGAUCUUUUCCGAGGCAUAUGUACUUUCUAAGAGUAUUUAGACACAACUGACGGACGGUGAAGGAAAACAUCGUGAGGAAAACUGGUCUUAUAAUUUCAAAUUAUAAGAUUGAAAUCGCCAACCCGUCUUGAGCAAGCGUGGUGAUUAAUGCUCUAACCCUCUCCAUGUGACAAUAGGCUUUUGCUCAGUAGUGGGCUCCUAUAGGCUGGUGAUGAUGAUGAAAGUAAAGUAAAUAGUCAAAUGAAAGAAUAAAAACAAACUUAACUGCCUUUAAUUGUUCUUAUAAUCUGUCUAAAUAACAUGUCCUACUUCCUCAUGAGUGCGUGCGGCUGGAAGUGAUUCACUAUGUUCACCCACCAGCUAUCUUCCACACCUUUAGUGAACUCUCUUAUGAAUCUGUAGUUCAGUAUGAAUAUAUUGUCCUGGUACUCGGGCUGUACUC